AGGGCGCAUGGUGAAUGCCUUGGCACUAACAGCUGAUGAAGGACGCGACAAACAGCGAUAUGCUUCGGGGAGCCGUAAUACGCUUUGAUCCGGAGAUUUCCGAAUGGGGGAACCCGUCAUUUAGUGACAUCUCUUAGUGAAUAUAUAGCUAAGUUGAUAGUAACCCAGAGAACUGAAACAUCUAAGUACCUGGAGGAAAAGAAAGAAAAUCGAUUCCCUUAGUAGCGGCGAGCGAAUUGGGAAGAGCCUAAACCAGUCUUCGGACUGGGGUUGUAGGACCACAACAUGAGACAUUAUUUUUAUAGCAGAAAUAGCUGGAAAGCUAUACUAUAGAGGGUGAUAGUCCUGUACGCGAAAUAAAAAUAAGCUCUAGUGGUAUCCUGAGUAGGGCGGGAAAUGUUAUCCUGUCUGAAUCUGCCGGAACCAUCCGGUAAGGCUAAAUACUAGUUAGUGACCGAUAGUGAACAAGUACUGUGAAGGAAAGGUGAAAAGAACCCCGGGAGGGGAGUGAAAUAGAAUCCUGCAACCAUGUGCUUACAAAAAGUCAGAGGCCGUUAAGGGCUGAUGGCGUGCCUUUUGCAGAAUGAACCGGCGAGUUAAUGUUGCAUGCGAGGUUAAGUAGAAGAUACGGAGCCGCAGCGAAAGCGAGUUUGAAUAGAGCGUUUAGUAUGCAGUAUUAGACCCGAAACCAGGUGAUCUAACCAUGAGCAGGUUGAAGUUUGGGUGAAACCAAAUGGAGGACCGAACCGACUUACCCGGAAACGUGAGCGGAUGACUUGUGGCUAGCGGUGAAAUUCCAAACGAACCUGGAUAUAGCUGGUUCUCCCCGAAAUAGGUUUAGGCCUAGCCUUAAGCUAAUCUAUAUGGAGGUAGAGCACUGAAUGAUUGAGGGCUUCUAGUGAGGUACCAAUUUCAAUCAAACUCCGAAUGCCAUAUAGUAAUACUUAGGAGUCAGUGUAUGGGUGAUAACGUCCAUACGCGAGAGGAAAAUAAUCCAGAUCGCCAGUUAAGGUCCCAAAAUUUAUGCUAAGUGGGAAAGGAUGUAGAGUUGUCAAAACAGCUAGGAGGUUGGCUUAGAAGCAGCUAUCCUUUAAAGAGUGCGUAAUAGCUCACUAGUCGAGUGACACUGCGCCGAAGAUGUACCGGGGCUAAGCAUAAUACCGAAACUGCGGGUUUAUAUUUAUAUAUAAGCGAUAGGGGAGCGUUGUAAUGGCACUGAAGGUAGACCGUGAGGACUGCUGGAGCGAUUACAAGUGAGAAUGCCGGUGUGAGUAGCGCAAGACGGGUGAGAAUCCCGUCCACCGUUUGCCUAAGGUUUCCUGGGCCAGGUUCGUCCUCCCAGGGUUAGUCGGGACCUAAGGUCAGGCCGAAGGGCGUAGCCGAUGGACAACAGGUUGAUAUUCCUGUACUGUAUAUAAGACUGAUGGAAUGACGAAGAAAGAUAUAAGGAGCCAGUUAUUGGAUUCUGGUCUAAGCACAAAGAUUGAUAAAUAGGGAAAUCCGUUUAUUAUAAGAUUGAAGUGUGAAUGCGGGCUACUGAAGAGUAGCUGAAGUCCUUAGACUCUAUGCUUCCAAGAAAAGUUUCUAAAGAUAUGUUAUAUACACCCGUACCGAGAACCGACACAGGUGGGCAAGGAGAGUAUCCUAAGGUGAGCGAGAGAAUUAUGGUUAAGGAACUCGGCAAAAUUACCCCGUAACUUCGGGAGAAGGGGUGGUUGGGAGUCUAGCUUGUCUAGAUAAACUCAACCCGCAGCAAAGAGGUCCAGGCGACUGUUUACCAAAAACACAGCUCUCUGCCAACUCGUAAGAGGAUGUAUAGGGGGUGACACCUGCCCAGUGCUGGAAAGUUAACAGAGUCACUUAGAUUUGACGUAAGUCGAUUUUAUCGAAGGUGAUGAUCGAAGCUCCAGUGAACGGCGGCCGUAACUAUAACGGUCCUAAGGUAGCGAAAUUCCUUGUCAGGUAAGUUCUGACCCGCACGAAAGGUGUAACGAUCUGGACGCUGUCUCAACCAUAAGCUCGGUGAAAUCUUAAUACCUGUGAAAAUGCAGGUUACCCGCAUCAGGACGGAAAGACCCCAUGGAGCUUUACUAUAACUUGAUAUUGGAUUCUGACUAUUAUUGUAUAGGAUAGGUGGGAGACUAUGAGAAUAAGGCGCUAGCCUUAUUGGAGUCAACCUUGUAAUACCACUCUUUAAUAGUUAGAAUUCUAACCUGGAACCGUGAUCCGGUUCAGGGACAGUGUCUGGUGGGUAGUUUGACUGGGGCGGUCGCCUCCCAAACAGUAACGGAGGCGUCCAAAGGUUCCCUCAGAAUGGUUGGAAAUCAUUCGUAGAGCGCAAAGGUAUAAGGGAGCUUAACUGCGAGACAUACAGGUCGAGCAGAUACGAAAGUAGGGCUUAGUGGGCCGGCGAUUCAGAAUGGAAUGGUCGUCGCUUAACGGAUAAAAGUUACCCUGGGGAUAACAGGCUGAUACCACCCAAUAGUUCACAUAGACGGUGGUGUUUGGCACCUCGAUGUCGGCUCGUCUCAUCCUGGAGGUGAAGUCGCUUCCAAGGGUUGGGCUGUUCGCCCAUUAAAGAGGCACGCGAGCUGGGUUCAGAACGUCGUGAGACAGUUCGGUUCCUAUCCGAUGUGGGCGUUGGAAAAUUGAGAAGAGCUGCCCUUAGUACGAGAGGACCGGGGUGGACAUACCGCUGGUAUAUCUGUUGUAGCGCCAGCUGCAGCGCAGAGUAGCUAUGUAUGGAAAGGAUAACCGCUGAAAGCAUCUAAGCGGGAAGCCCCCUUCAAGAUGAAUUUUCCCAUUGU
rnacentral:rRNA from 1 species